GAUGAACGCUAGCGAUAGGCUUAACACAUGCAGGUCGAGGGGCAGCAUGGUCUUAGCUUGCUAAGACUGAUGGCGACCGGCGCACGGGUGCGUAACGCGUAUGCAACUUGCCUCACAGAGGGGGAUAACCCGUCGAAAGACGGACUAAUACCGCGUACACUCCAUCUUGGGCAUCCAAGGUAGAGGAAAUGAAAUUCGCUGUGAGAUAGGCAUGCGUCCCAUUAGCUAGUUGGUGAGGUAACGGCUCACCAAGGCGACGAUGGGUAGGGGAACUGAGAGGUUGAACCCCCACACUGGUACUGAGACACGGACCAGACUCCUACGGGAGGCAGCAGUGAGGAAUAUUGGUCAAUGGGCGAGAGCCUGAACCAGCCAAGUCGCGUGAAGGAUGACUGUCUUAUGGAUUGUAAACUUCUUUUAUACGGGAAUAACAAGAGUCACGUGUGACUCCCUGCAUGUACCGUAUGAAUAAGCAUCGGCUAACUCCGUG
rnacentral:rRNA from 1 species